GACGAACGCUGGCGGCGUGCUUAACACAUGCAAGUCGAACGGAAAGGCCCUGCUUUUGUGGGGUGCUCGAGUGGCGAACGGGUGAGUAACAAGUGAGUAACCUGCCCUUGACUUUGGGAUAACUACAGGAAACUGGGGCUAAUACCGGAUAGGAGCUCCUGCUGCAUGGUGGGGGUUGGAAAGUUUCGGCGGUUGGGGAUGGACUCGCGGCUUAUCAGCUUGUUGGUGGGUAGUGGCUUACCAAGGCUUUGACGGGUAGCCGGCCUGAGAGGGUGACCGGCCACAUUGGGACUGAGAUACGGCCCAGACUCCUACGGGAGGCAGUAGUGGGGAAUAUUGCACAAUGGGCGGAAGCCUGAUGCAGCAACGCCGCGGGCGGGAUGACGGCCUUCGGGUUGUAAACCGCUUUCGCCUGUGACGAAGAGUGAGUGACGGUAAUGGGUAAAGAAGCACCGGCUAACUACGUG
rnacentral:rRNA from 1 species